rnacentral:rRNA from 1 species
UACGUAGGUGGCAAGCGUUGUCCGGAUUUACUGGGCGUAAAGAGCGCGCAGGCGGUCGAUCAAGUCGCGUGUGAAAGCCCCGGGCUCAACCUGGGAAUUGCGGUUGAAACUGGCGAACUAGAAUCUGGCAGAGGGGGGGUGGAAUUCCACGUGUAGCAGUGAAAUGCGUAGAUAUUGGGAGGAACACCGGUGGCGAAGGCGGCAUCCUGGACCGGUAUUGACGCUGAGGCGCGAAAGCUAGGGGAGCAAACGGG